rnacentral:rRNA from 1 species
AUGGCGACCGGCAAACGGGUGCGACACGUACAGAACCCUCCUUCAAGCGGGGCAUAGCCCAGAGAAAUUUGGAUUAAUACCCCAUAAUAUACCGAAGAGGCAUCUCUUUGUUAUUAAAGAAUUUAUUCACUUGAAGAUGGCUGUGCGGCUGAUUAGGUAGUUGGCGGGGUAACGGCCCACCAAGCCUGCGAUCAGUAACUGGUGUGAGAGCACGACCAGUCACACGGGCACUGAGAACACGGGCCCGACUCCUACGGGAGGCAGCAGUAAGGAAUAUUGGUCAAUGGACGCAAGUCUGAACCAGCCAUGCCGCGUGGAGGAUGAAGGUCCUCUGGAUUGUAAACUUCUUUUUAUAUGGGGACGAAAAAAAGGCCUUUUCCAGGUCCGGUCUUGACGGGUACCAUUAUGGAAUNAACACCGGUUAACUCGGUGCCCAACCCGGGGUAAAUAACGGGAGGGUGCAAAGUUUUCGGGAUUCCUGGGGUUUAAAGGGUGCGUUAGUGGGUUGGGAAACGUCNGGGUGAAAUCCCCGGGGCUAAAUUGGGGGAACGGGCCUUGGGUAUCUAUUNCAUUUUGGAAAACCGGGGGAGGNCGGGGAAA